GGAAUAUUGGGCAAUGGGCGAAAGCCUGACCCAGCAACGCCGCGUGAGUGAAGAAGGCCUUCGGGUUGUAAAGCUCUGUUAUGUGGGACGAAGGAAGUGACGGUACCACAUAAGGAAGCCCCGGCUAACUACGUGCCAGCAGCCGCGGUAAUACGUAGGGGGCGAGCGUUGUCCGGAAUGACUGGGCGUAAAGGGCGUGUAGGCGGCUCUAUAAGUCUGGAGUGAAAGUCCCGCUUUCAAGGUGGGAACUGCUUUGGAUACUGUAGAGCUUGAGUGCGGAAGAGGUAAGUGGAAUUCCCAGUGUAGCGGUGAAAUGCGUAGGGAUUGGGAGGAACACCAGGGGCGAAGGCGACUUACUGGGCCGUAACUGACGCUGAGGCGCGAAAGCGUGGGGAGCGAACA
rnacentral:rRNA from 1 species